AUUUGCACUGUUUUUCCAGUCAGAGGGCUAUGCAGUUUUCUUGGUUAUAAACUGAUUUGCAUAAGCAGCAGUUCACCUGAGCAGGCAUGUGGGUCAUCCUGUCUCUUAACCAGGCAUGAGCUACAUUGUUCCUGUCUCUUAACCAGGCAUGAGAUACAUUGUUCCUGUCUCUUAACCAGGUAUAGGUGGGGAAUGCUCAAAUGGCCCCUGAGAGAUGGGCAGUUCCAGAUACGGAAAAAGAAGGCUUUGACCAAAGCAGCAUGGUA
rnacentral:lncRNA from 1 species